GGCUUUGUGGUCUAGCGGCAUGAUUCCUGCUUUGGGCGAUACUCAAAGCUGCAGGAGGUCCCGCGUUCGAAUCGCGGCAGAGCCC